UACGAAGGGGGCUAGCGUUGCUCGGAAUUACUGGGCGUAAAGGGCUCGUAGGCGGCCAACUAAGUCGGAUGUGAAAUCCCCAGGCUCAACCUGGGAACUGCAUCCGAUACUGGAUGGCUUGAAUUCGGGAGAGGGAUGCAGAAUUCCAGGUGUAGCGGUGAAAUGCGUAGAUAUCAGGAGGAACACCGGUGGCGAAGGCGGUUCUCUGGGCAUGUCCUGACGCUGAGGAGCGAAAGUGUGGGGAGCGAACAGG
rnacentral:rRNA from 1 species